rnacentral:rRNA from 1 species
CCCUUAGAUGUUCUGGGCAGCACGCGCGCUACAAUGGUCUUCGCAAACGGAUGCAUUCUCGAAGGAGAAUGCCAAUCUUGGAAUCUAUGCCUUGGUCGGGACAGUUGCUUGCAAUUUUUCGACUCGAACCAGGAAUUCCUUGUAAUCGUGAUUCAUCACAUCACGAUGAAUACGUCCCUGCCCUUUGUACACACCGCCCGUCGCUCCUACCGAUCGAAGAGUUAGGUGAAUUGUUUUGAUCGAUAAGAUUUGACUAUGGUCAACUCUCGUUGUGAAAUUCUGUGAAUCUGACUGUUGAGAGGAAGGAAAAGUCGGAACA